rnacentral:lncRNA from 1 species
UUAACUUAGGUUCCAACAGACUGGAAGAUUACAAACUAAAUGUGUAAAUACAUUUUUGUAUAGACAAAUAGUAUAUUCAAAGAUGUGGAAUAUAUUCGUCAUACAAAACGACACUGUAAACCCACUACGUUUCGUAAAUGUGAAUCCAUCGAAACAAAAUGAAAAUCUGCAAGUUUCAAAGAAAACAAACAAAAUGAAAAUCUGCCCAAAGAUAAUAUUAUAGAAAUAAUAAGAUGAAUAAACUGAAUAUUAAAGAUGAUUAUGACUCACAAAGUCGACAAAAAAAAAGAUGAAUAUGCCUCUUGACUCCAGAAUUGUCCUUUGCUGUAAAAUCCGACCAAGAAUCGUCGAGUCCAAUGCACUUGCACAUGGAGAGUUCAGUUUUGUUUUUCUAAUUAGGAAAUAAUGUACGUUUUCAUCAUUUUUCUAAUGAAAAAAUGUUUUAGAGCAAGUAAAGUAUAUAGAUAAGAAAAACUUAUCAGGAAUAUCGACGACUUGAUUGCCAAAUUUGAAGUCCACAUGCUCCAAGACCAAUGACAUAAUGCAAAAAAUCC